CAGGAUGAACGCUGGCGGCGUGCCUAACACAUGCAAGUCGAGCGAUUACUUCGGUAAAGAGCGGCGGACGGGUGAGUAACGCGUGGGUAACCUGCCUCAUACACAUGGAUAACAUACCGAAAGGUAUGCUAAUACAGGAUAAUAUAAGAGAUUCACAUGGAUUUUUUAUCAAAGCUCCGGCGGUAUGAGAUGGACCCGCGUCUGAUUAGCUAGUUGGUAAGGUAAUGGCUUACCAAGGCGACGAUCAGUAGCCGACCUGAGAGGGUGAUCGGCCACAUUGGAACUGAGACACGGUCCAAACUCCUACGGGAGGCAGCAGUGGGGAAUAUUGCACAAUGGGCGAAAGCCUGAUGCAGCAACGCCGCGUGAGUGAUGAAGGCCUUCGGGUCGUAAAACUCUGUCCUCAAGGAAGAUAAUGACGGUACUUGAGGAGGAAGCCCCGGCUAACUACGUGCCAGCCGCCGC
rnacentral:rRNA from 1 species